GCCUGGGUGGCUCAGUCGGUUGAGCGUCUGACUUAGGCUCAGGUCAUGAUCUCACGGUCCAUGGGUUUGAGCCCCGCCUCGGGCU
rfam:Felis catus isolate Cinnamon breed Abyssinian chromosome E2, whole genome shotgun sequence.